AUGCCGAUGGCACAAGGCCUCUGGGUCACCUGGUGUGGUUGGCAACUCCCUGGUAUCGGUGUACUUCAUCAACACUGGCUGCACGUACGCUCACUCAUUUGCCCCGAGUUCCAGAACACUGCCCUGCCAGGCCUUUCAAACGAGCUGCCCUUUCCACCGCUGGUAUUCAGGAAGAUUCCAGGCCACACAGCGAGUAACGUCCAUGAACCAAGUUCCUGUAUUACAACUGCCAGCCCAGGACUCCGGGAAUUUCAUGUCGGGCCCUAUUACUUAAUUCUAACAAAUGAAGGCUCAUUUUGGUCACCAUCAUUCAUGUCACAGAAGAAUUUGCAUUUCACUGACCUUCAGCACAGAUUGAAUACAGAGCUCCCCAGCAGCAGAGACCGCACUGGACACCCCCAAGACCACAUGAUGAGAGGACCCAAGCUAAGCCCGGACUCCUAG
rnacentral:lncRNA from 1 species